rnacentral:tRNA from 1 species
AACAAAAUGUAGCUUAAUAAUAAAGCCCCUCGCUUACACCGAGACACUAUCUGUUUGUCCAGAUCAUUUU